rnacentral:misc_RNA from 1 species
CGCACCUUGCGCUCCUUGGUAUUCCGAGGAGCAUGCCUGUUUGAGUGUCAUUGAACCAUCAAUUCUCAACUUCUGUAAUGGUCGUUGAUGGAUUGGACUUGGGGACUUGCUGGUUCUAUUGUUGAAUUGGCUUCCCUCAAAUGCAUUAGCUGGAGUCAAGCAGCAUAUAUGCGGUGUGAUAAUAUCUUCACUGCAUUGCUAGUCUUGAGUCCGGCUUCCAAUGGUCCAUUAGUUUGGACAGCAGCAAUGCUUAUGACAAUUUGACCUCAAAUCAGGUAGGACUACCCGCUGAACUUAA